rnacentral:sRNA from 1 species
GAUUUUUGCAUUGGAUAUGAGAUCAGAUUGACUUUUAAGGGCUCGUCUGACUCUUUGCCUUUCAAGUUUUGAUCAGAAGUCUUAGCUUUUUUUCUCCAGGUUUAGAUUUAACAAUCUAAACCUAGUUCUAACAUUGUUAAAAGGGCCAAAUUCCAGGGUUCACCAGAUAAAUUUAACACAUAUGUGACCCUGAAAGUACAGAAUGUGAAGAGCACAACUGUAGCAGUUCGUGGUGAUCAGCCUUCCUGGGAACAGGAUUUCAUGUUUGAGAUUAGUCGCCUGGACCUGGGUCUAAGUGUGGAGGUAUGGAACAAAGGACUGAUCUGGGACACCAUGGUGGGGACUGUGUGGAUUGCGCUGAAGACUAUUCGUCAGUCGGAUGAGGAAGGGCCUGGGGAAUGGUCCACAUUAGAGGCAGAGACGUUAAUGAAAGACGAUGAGAUCUGUGGAACUAGAAACCCAACUCCUCAUAAAAUUUUGCUUGAUACAAGAUUUGAGUUGCCUUUUGAUAUCCCAGAGGAGGAAGCCAGAUAUUGGACCUACAAAUGGGAGCAAAUCAAUGCCUUGG